rnacentral:rRNA from 1 species
UACGUAGGGUGCGAGCGUUAAUCGGAAUUACUGGGCGUAAAGCGUGCGCAGGCGGCGCGUUAAGACAGGUGUGAAAGCCCCGAGCUUAACUUGGGAAUUGCGCUUGUGACUGGCGUGCUGGAGUGUGGCAGAGGGAGGUGGAAUUCCACGUGUAGCAGUGAAAUGCGUAGAUAUCAAGAGGAACACCUGAGGUGAAGACGGGUUGCUGGGCCGACACUGACGCUGAUGCGCGAAAGCCAGGGGAGCAAACGGG